UACGUAGGGACCGAGCGUUGUCCGGAUUCAUUGGGCGUAAAGAGCUCGUAGGCGGCUGCUCAAGUCGAAUGUGAAAACUCGAGGCUCAACCUCGAGCCUGCAUUCGAUACUGGGCGGCUAGAGUCUGGUAGGGGGAUCUGGAAUUCCUGGUGUAGCGGUGAAAUGCGCAGAUAUCGGGAGGAACACCGGUGGCGAAGGCGGUUCUCUGGGCAUUACCUGACGCUGAGGAGCGAAAGUGUGGGGAGCGAACAGG
rnacentral:rRNA from 1 species